GAGGGUAUUGCUCAGUGGUAGAGUAUGUGCUUAGUGUGCACAAGGUCGUGGGUUCAAUCCCCAGUACCUCUA
rnacentral:tRNA from 1 species